AUAUGUUGUAUAUAUCUACUUUAUCUUUGGAGCUCAGUUAACAUGUUCAUAUUGUAUAGUCGUUCCUUCGCCUUGUAUAUUACAAUAUAUCUUUCUUUCGCUCUUUAUCUGUAUAUUGACCAGGGAUAUACUGUAUAGCUUUGACAUAUAUUAAAUGUAGUUGGAAUAAGAUAGUUCACCUUGAUAAUUCCUUAGUCUUAUUAUGUUAGACUCUUGGAUAUGAAUAGGAUAGUCAUUAUAAUAAGAUCUUAAAAUGAGAACAUGAUGAUGUAGGUUAUGUUGAGAUGACCUCCUAUAUAUAUAUAUAUAUAUAGAUAUAUAGCUAUAUGAAGUCAUGGUACUAUCGGAUAUUCCUUUCUUUGUUGUUCAUAUUGUAUAGUCGUUCCUUCGCCUUGUAUAUUACAAUAUAUCUUUCUUUCUUGGCAGUUGCCUACUGAGUACCAUUUGUUUGGUACUCAUACUACACCUCUGCAGCCUGCAGAUCAUAGUAUGAGUUAUCUCCGUUGAUGUGUGCAUCGUGUGGAGUAGCCCUAAUUCGGAGACUUAGAGUGAGCUCCUGACGUUCGGAGUAUUACUUAUCCCUCUCCUAUGUAUUAGACUAGCCUCUAAGUUGUAUUCAGAGGUAAGUUGAAUCAGUGUAUUUCUCCUUAAUAUAUCACUUUUGUACUCUUAUUAUGUUUAGAAGCUUUUGUACUGAUACCACCAGGUUUUGGAAUUCGUCUAUGUAUUGAUCUUUAUAUCACAUAUUCUGCAUUCUUUUCUUUAUGUUAUUAAGUAGUCCGUUACUAACCGUUCUAGACUACGAGUUGGCUUGCCUACUGGUGGGUUAUGGUAGGCGCCAUCAUGACCUGAAAAGUUGGGUCGUGACAAAUAUCAACAAAAGAAAGGGCAGUCCGAUGAACUAAAUCUCCCGCUAUGCGCAUGGUCUAGA
rnacentral:lncRNA from 1 species